AUGUUUCAUCUUGCAACCUCAGCAGAAGGCAAAGAGAACUGGAGACGAUCCUACAGGGCAGUGGUUCCCAACUUUUUGGCACCAGGGACCAGUUUCAUGGAAGACAAUUUUUCCACGUACCAGAGUGCGGGAGGAGAUGGUUUCAGGAUGAUUCAAGCACCUUACAUUCAUUGUGAACUUGAUUUCUAUUAUUACAUUGUAAUCUGUGGGAGCCCUGAACUUGUUUUCUUGCAACUAGAUAGACCCAUCUGGGGCUGAUGGGAGACAGUGACACCUGAAGUGUGUCGUUUAUGUCCAGUCUACUCCAUAAUCUCAUUUUGGUCGCUGUCACUGUAGAAAACCCUGCUUCACAAGGAUAGGGUGUUGGAAGUGGAAGCAGGCUUUUCAGUGCUUUUGUGGCAAUUUUAGGAUAUUCAGCCUUGACUUUAAUCCAGAACAUAAGGAGAUUUGAAGUUGUCUCAAACAUACUUUUUUUUUUUUUUUUUUUAAAUGGAGUCUCGCUCUUUUUGCCCAGGUUGGAGUGCAAUGGCGCAAUCUCGGCUUACUGCAACCUCCGCCUCCUGGCUUCAAGUGAUUCUCCUGCCUCAGCCUCCCGAGUAGCUGGGAUUACAGGCAUGAGCUACCAUGCCCAGCGAAUUUUUUGUAUUUUUAAUAGAGAAGGGGUUUCACUAUGUUGGCCAGGCUGGUCUCAAACUCCUGACCUUGUGAUCCACCCACUUUGGCCUCCCAACGUGUUAAACAUACUUUUAAGGGCACCAAAUGCAGCUGUGCAACUGAAGUACAUCAACUCACUUUCCACUAUAAAGCCUGCCACCAGAUGCAGCUUGUCACCUGCCACUCACUGAUAGGGUUUUGAUAUGAGUCUGCAAGCAGUUGAUUUAUUUGGUCUCUGUGCCAUAAAAACUCUCUGCUAAUGUUAGUCUGUAUUUGCAGCCACUCCCCAGCGCUAGCAUCACGGCCUCAGCUCCACCUCAGAUCACAGGCAUUAGAUUCUCAUAAGAAGUAUGCAGCCUAGAUUCCUCAUGUAUAAUUUACAAUAGGGUUUACGCUCCUAUACGAAUCUAAUGCUGCUGCUGAUCUGACGGGAGGCAGUGAUGUGAGCAAUGAGGAGUGGCUGUAACUACAGAUGAAGUUUCACUUGCUCACCCACGCACACCUCCUACUGUACCACCUGGAUCCUAACAGGCCACUGACUGGUACCAGUCCAUGGCCCAGGGGCUGGGGACCCCAGCCAUAGGUGACAAAAGACUUCAAUAAAAUCCUUAGAAGACAGAAAGAGGACAGAUGGGAGUGACUGACCUAACAGAACAGAGGAAGUUAAGGUUAGUGGCCUGUAUGAGGGACAGCUGAUGAAACUGGUUCUGUCUCGCUCUGAAGAUCACCUACGGGGUUCAAAGCUUGAAGUCACUAUAUUCUGUGAGCAGAGAGAUGAGGCAAGGGGCUGCAAACUGAGUGGAUUCAAAUUCUGUUCACCCAGCUACUCACAUUGGAGUCAGGAGGUUCACACUCAGGACAGUUUCAGUCCCACUGCUCUGAGCUCAGGGAUAGCAGUCCCAGUACAGACCAGGAGGACACAGGGAGGGAAAUGAGGGAAGAUCCACACACUGAAUGGCGGGUCUUCAACCUCCUUUACGCACUGCUCCCAUGCUCCUUUCUGGAGAAGCCAAAGAGUACAGCCAUUGGAAGUCUCUCAGGAAGAAGGCUGGCUAACUGGUGAGUCUUCUGUGAAGCUAGCCUUCAACAAACUCAGCCCUGCUUGUUUAGGUUUUUCUCUAAAAUAUGAAUAGAUGGUCAAAGUGAAGCGGCAUCAUUUUCUGGGGUAAAUACCUGAGAUUCCUUGUCUCACGGCCACGGAAAACUAGGACACAGACACACCAAGAGUGAGCUUAAGGUGGAAAUUUAACAGGCGAAAGAAAGCGAAGAGCUCCCUCUAGGGGUCCUGAAUGGGUUUCCGCUUCCAUGGUGAAAUGCAGGGGGUUUUACAGAGCUUGAGAAGGCGGUAUCUGUUUUACAUAGGGCAUGAAAGAUUGCUUAGUGUGCCAUUUUAUUGGGUGUGAAAAGGUGGCUGCCCACCCGAAUCUUUUAUUAUGCACGUGGUUCGCUACCUGGCCAGCGCCAUGUUGCCUGUUUCUUUACACGUGGUGAUAAAAGAGAAGAUGGGGCCUCCAUGUUGAACAUGCCUGGUCCCCGGGUAGCCUUUUCCUCGUGGCACAGCUGUCGUCAUUCACCCGUGCAAGCUUCCAGCUUCCAGCUUGCUUAACUGUGUUUGCAGCUCGAUUUUUUCAGGCUGCUCUUUGUUAGAAAAGAACAAUUUUUGGGGCUACUUUUUGUCAGAAGUGAAGCAUUGUCAAGGACUCUUUUACCGUCAAUAUCUGCCUAAACAAUUUCUACCUUCCGUAUCAAGAGGUCAUCACACAGUUCAGGAAAGUCAUCACCAUGAAAAAUGCAAACCAAAACCAACUUAGUGGAAACAAAAGAUGCAGGAGAGGGUAAAAAGCUACAUUUAAAU
rnacentral:lncRNA from 1 species